AGAUUUUUUUUGUGACACAUUUCAAACAGGUAUUUUAAAAGCACACAUUUGACCUCCAGCGCGCGCCUUUGAAAUAAUAACAUGCAGCAUUCGCGGUAACAUGCAGGCGGUCCGCCUACCGACAGAUGGCAGUGUGCGCCAAGCUUAAGCAAGGUAAAUUAACGGUGGUUUAUUUUGCACCUUUACCUAGGUAGGCUAGGUUUAAAUAAUGUAUCUACACUGAAGCUUAGGUAUGAAAUUUGCAGUCAUUUGAUUCUCAGGAGACACAUGCUAAAUAAAUACCCACUUUAUGCACCUACGAUUUUCAUGGAUAAUUGGGGGUGUUGUGGAAAAGAUCCUAGGAACUUUAAAAGCGUUAUUGUAAGAUCCCUGCGGCAGCCGCCGAGCUCAUGGAGCAGGAACGGCCCACAUGAUCAGGAUCAGCUGUGAAGGGGAGCAGGCGCCCGUCCUGCCCUGCCCCAUCCCUGCUCCCGAUGGAGCACCGAGCCCACGGGCGACACCAACAGCGGCAACGCCUGCUGAUGGAGAACAAGCAGGUGGAGGCCUAGACAGAGGCGGGGAAGGAAAGGAAUGUGAGAGCUCAGCUGGUGAUUAUCGCUUAACGUUACGGGAUGGAUCCUAAUAUGUCACACUCCUGCAAUGCAUCAUCGUGACAGAAGACAUCCUCGGAAAAAGUCAGAAGUCUUCUUGGGUUGAUCUGUUGGCCCUGCAAAAAAAAGGCAUUUAUAUACCCGUCAGUGUCGAAACACUGAUUCAAAGAUUUAAACAUGAACAUCAAUGUUCAUAUCGGGCAUAUCUGUUGGAAUUGUGAAUGAAGGGGAAAAUAAAAUUUAAGUGAUUGUGUAAUUAUUAAAACUGCUACCACAGUUUACUUGUA